UUUCAGCAGAGCCAAGGAAUGGGAGGCGCCCUAGCCUCCCCGCAGGCCACAGCGCUGGGACUCCUGCCUUCCCUGCUAUCUCCCUGAGGCAAGGGGUUGGAGGUUAGCACGGAGUGUUUCUCAAUCAUUUUCCACCUUACAUUUUAAGACAUGGUGUGUCACUGAACCUGGAACUCACCAACUCUGCUAGACUGGGUAGGUAGCCAGCAAACCCUAGGGACCUCCUAGCUCUCAGCUUGUCCAGGAUUUCGAUUACGUGCAUGUAUCACCAUGCCCAGGUUUGUUAUUUCGCUUUGUUUCUUGAUGAGGUCUCACUCUGCAGCCCUGGAUGCCCUAGUACUCAAUAAAUAGACCAGGCCUCUGUCUCUGGAGUGCUCUGAUUAAAAGCAUGUACCACUCAUGUCCAGGUUUUUUUACAUGGGUCCGGGAACAAACCUGGGUCCUCAUUGCUUGCAUAGCAACUGCUAAAUACUUUACCACAUGAUUAUUUCAUUUGGCACAUCUCCCAAUGAUGUAUGAGAGUUCCCAUUUUUCUGUAUCCUUGCCACGCCCUGCACAUUUCUUUGCAUUUUUUGCCAUUCUUAUAAGUUAGAGUAGUAUCUUAUAUUUUUACAUUUCCCCAAUGAUAGUAAUGAUAACAAGUAUCAUUACCAAGUGCUUUUUGGCAACUUAGGUACCUUCUUCAGCAAAGUGUCUGGGUUCAUUCCUUACUAGUGUUUCAGAGUUCUUUAUAGAUUUUAGACAUAAAUCUCUUACUAAAGACAUGUCUCAUCAUUUUCAAUAACCAUAUAAUCCAGCAGUUCCACUUUCAGGUACAGAUACAAAAGAACUGAAAAUGAAGAGUCAGAGAAAUGGUUUUGUUUUGUUUUUGUUUUUUGUUUGUUUGUUUGUUUGUUUGUUUUCGAGACAGGGUUUCUCUGUGUAGCCCUGGCUGUCCUGGAACUCACUCUGUAGACCAGGCUGGCCUCGAACUCAGAAAUCCACCUGCCUCUGCCUCAGAGAAAUGUUUUAUAGCAUCAUUAUUUACAGCAAGCUAAGUGCUUAUAAAUCCAUAAAUCUCUACAGAAGGUGUGCUGUGGCCAUCCAAUGGAAUACUGUUUCUGUGUUUUUGUUUUUGUUUUUUCUUUUUGAAAGGAAGUUCUGACAAUUGCUCUAGCACAGAUGAACCUUGAGGGCAUUAAGCCCACUGAAAUAAGCCAGUGACAAAAAGACAAAUGUUGUGAUCACACUUAAAUAAGGUAAGUAGACUGUCGGUCAAGCAGGUAGGGGCAGAAAGCAGAACCCUAGCCGCUAGGGGAUGUGGGGAGGGCAGAAUGGGCAUUUGUUGUUUAAUGGAUGUAAAGGUUCAGUUUUGCAAAAGGAAAAGGUGAGGCUGAGGACAUUGCUCUCUAGCAGAACGCUCACCUAGCAUUUCUGAGACCUGAGUUCAAUGUCCAACAGCUCAUGCACACACACAUGCACAGGAGAAAGAAGGGAAAGAAGCUACCCUUUUACUUAAAAAAUGCAUUUAUUUUUAUUUUAUGUGUGUGUGCCUGAGUUGCAAGUGCCCACUGAGUGCAGAAGAAAGUGUUGGAUCUCCUGAAACUGGAGUUACACGUGCUUGUGAGCCACCUGAUGUGCUGAGAGCAGUCCUUAGGCCUCUGCAAUAGCAGCAAGUCCUAUGUAAUGCCUCAUAAUGACUUUUGUUUAGACAACAAAUUAUUUUUUUAAGAUAUUUACACAAAUAAAAGAUAUUUUGAAAAUUC
ensembl:processed_transcript 5730405O15Rik RIKEN cDNA 5730405O15 gene